rnacentral:rRNA from 1 species
AUUGAACGCUGGCGGCAUGCCUUACACAUGCAAGUCGAACGGCAGCACGGGAGCAAUCCUGGUGGCGAGUGGCGAACGGGUGAGUAAUAUAUCGGAACGUGCCCAGUCGUGGGGAUAACGUAGCGAAAGCUACGCUAAUACCGCAUACGAUCUAUGGAUGAAAGCGGGGGAUCGCAAGACCUCGCGCGAUUGGAGCGGCCGAUAUCAGAUUAGGUAGUUGGUGAGGUAAAGGCUCACCAAGCCGACGAUCUGUAGCUGGUCUGAGAGGACGACCAGCCACACUGGGACUGAGACACGGCCCAGACUCCUACGGGAGGCAGCAGUGGGGAAUUUUGGACAAUGGGCGCAAGCCUGAUCCAGCAAUGCCGCGUGCAGGAUGAAGGCCUCGGGUUGUAAACGUGCUUUUGUCGUACGAACGGUGAGCUCUAAUACAGUUGCUAAUGACGGUACGUAACGAAUAAGACACCGGAC